GUACACGCUGUGACUAGCAUAUCAAUAAGCGGAGGAAAAGAAACUAACAAGGAUUCCCCUAGUAACGGCGAGUGAAGCGGGAAGAGCUCAAAUUUGAAAUCUUAAAGGGUUUCCCUUUACGAAUUGUAGUUUAAAGAAGUGUUUUCUGUUGAGGUUUUGGUAAAAGUUCUUUGGAAUAGGACAUCAUAGAGGGUGAGAAUCCCGUAUUUGACCUUUACUUUCAACUUUGUGAUACACUUUCAAAGAGUCGGAUUGUUUGGGAAUGCAGUCCAAAAUGGGUGGUAAAUUUCAUCUAAAGCUAAAUAUUGGCGAGAGACCGAUAGCGAACAAGUACCGCGAGGGAAAGAUGAAAAGAACUUUGAAAAGAGAGUUAAACAGUACGUGAAAUUGUCAAAAGGGAAGCGUUUGACACUAGUGUUGUUUUUCUGAAAAUCAAUUAAAGAACUGUUUAUGCUAAGUUGUUUAGACUUUAUCAGCUAACUGUUUAGUUUUGAGCUUUUCUUUAAUGCACUUUUCAGUUAACAAGUCAACAUCAGUUUCUUUUGCUGUAAAAAAAGCUUGAGGAAGGUGGCUUGAGAUUCGUCUUAAGUGUUUAUAGCCUCUUGCCUAUGCAGUCGGAGAGAUUGAGGUCUGCAGCGUAGAUCCUUCGGGGCUAAAUGCAUUUGUGCUAAGUUAUAACAUUUUAUAGACAACUUGUUGACUAUGAUUUGUCUUGUAGCUUACUCGCUUAUGUUAUUUUACCUACGCUUAGGAUGUUGACAGCAGUAUAGACUGU
rnacentral:rRNA from 1 species